AUUGAACGCUGGCGGCAUGCCUUACACAUGCAAGUCGAACGGUAACAGGUCUUCGGAUGCUGACGAGUGGCGAACGGGUGAGUAAUACAUCGGAACGUGCCCGAGAGUGGGGGAUAACGAGGCGAAAGCUUUGCUAAUACCGCAUACGAUCUCAGGAUGAAAGCAGGGGACCGCAAGGCCUUCCGCUCACGGAGCGGCCGGUGGCAGAUUAGGUAGUUGGUGGGAUAAAAGCUGACCAAGCCGACGAUCUGUAGCUGGUCUGAGAGGACGACCAGCCACACUGGGACUGAGACACGGCCCAGACUCCUACGGGAGGCAGCAGUGGGGAAUUUUGGACAAUGGGCGCAAGCCUGAUCCAGCCAUGCCGCGUGCAGGAUGAAGGCCUUCGGGUUGUAAACUGCUUUUGUACGGAACGAAAAGACUCUGGUUAAUACCUGGGGUCCAUGACGGUACCGUAAGAAUAAGCACCGGCUAACUACGUGCCAGCAGCCGCAGUAAAAC
rnacentral:rRNA from 1 species